rnacentral:lncRNA from 1 species
GCAGGACCAGUGCUAGCUAGAACUGCAAGGGCCAUAAGGGAGGGCGUUGUAAAAGGCCGUGCUGUCCUGCAAAUAUUUUUCACCCUUACCAAAUUUUCCAGGAUGGCUGUCAACUACUUCAAAUCGCGAGCUAGAUCCAAAGUACAACCUACAUGGUGAGAGCAACAUUAGUAUAUAAUUUUUGUUUGGACAUAUGUGACACCAAGAUAAAAUAUUGUAGUAUACUUUUAUAUUUCCCAAUUUGCAAUGUUCUGGGCUGCUAGUAUGACUGUCAAAUAUGGGGUUAAGAGAACUGAAACAAACAAAUUGUUUUUCCUAAUUGUCAUUUGGUAUGUUUCAAUGCACAUGUUCUCUCUUCUUCUGGCAGAAGUAUUAAUAUAGUUUUUGCUCGCAUUAUGUGCUACAUAAUAUUCAGAUUGUUAUAUAAAGGAGUAAUGAGAGUAUCAGUGGUUUUCUUUAAAAACAGAGCUUACUUGAGAUCUCUUUGGAUGGCUAUGCAUUCUGCUGAAUGAAAUUUGCUCCUUAAAGUGAAUUUGUUAUCUUAAGACUUGUAGAUGCAUAGAUAAACUUAAAUUUUGUCUUGCCUGAUUUGAUCUAGGUCAGUGCAUCAUUUUCUAAGGGCCUAAUGGUCAUAUGUGUUUGCUGUAUACCAUUUUCUAUGUUACUCUGUAUGACAAGUUCACUUAGGAUAUCCGAAGUACAUAACACCUCUCAUGACCAUGCCUUUCUGUGGCAACAUUCAUUUUUUGCCUGAAUCACCUCCCCUUUUGAUCCCAAACCUGGCUCUACAGAAACAGUUGUCUUACCUCUAGUCUCUUUCUUUGCAAUUGCAUUGUGUUAUUUCCCUCUAGAGAGAAUCUGAAAGUGUAUAAUGACCAGUCUCACAAUCCUACUCGCUCAAAAUCCUAGGCCACGAGUGGCACUGCUCUCGUCUCGUAUAAUAGUUGUAUUGGAUAUUGUAGCUUAAGUUUAGACUUGACUAGGCAGAGUUUGAUGGUACAAAAUUACAUGUCAGAGAUUACUUAGAACACAAUUCAACACACUGUAGUAGUCAACAUUAGCUUUAUUCAUGGUUGAUGGAGUAUUGUCAAUUGGAAACUGAAAAAUUCACAACAAAAAAUGAUAUUUUCACAUGAAAACUGUCGCUAUAGAUCCUAUAGCAACGAUUUUCAUCGGCGCUAUACAUCUAUGGCGAUACUUUUUAUGUGAAAAUAUCAAAUAGUGUCGUAGAAAUUGGGCAUUAAUGCUUGCAUGUGCUUAGAAUUGUUGUUAAAUACUACUCCCUCCGUCCUUAAUUAUUUGACGUUUUAAGAUUUUUUAUUUGUCCUUAAUUAUUUGACGUUUGUUCAAAUAUAGGAGAAUUAAUAAUAUUUUUUUCAAAAUUACCUCUCAUUACUCUGCCUAUUUUUUUGAUAUUUUAAACUUUCUCUCCUUAUCCCAACAAAAGAUUUAAGGGUAUUAUAGACAAUUGAGGACUAUAUUUAAUCUGUGUCCACCUCUAAAACGUCAAAUAAUUAGAAACGGAAGGAGUACUACUAUAACUAUAAGAGACCAAAAGUCUCUUACUUGUCCGAAUUGUUAGUACAUGUAUUGGAGCAUAGGAAUCCCAAAAAUAUUAAAUGCUAGUUUGAAAAUGUGAAUUAAUUAGAUCUGACAAUAUAGUUGGUUAACUGUCGGGUCAAUUUAUAUUAAUUGGAACUAAAUGAGUUGGUUAACUAUUUUUAUUUCUUUGGGUUGGGUAAAGUUUGGAACCAUAUUUUAAAAAAGAAAUAUAAGUACAAUUCAGUUAACCAUUUUUCGACUCAUAUUUUAUUUCAAAUUCAAAUCAAAAGUUCUUUCCACCCAUAUUUACAUAUUCAAGAAGUUCAACCACCCACCUCAUCCAACCCAACCCAAAAAAUUAAUAUUAUAUAAUUAUGUAUACAUCCCUUACUUCCCACCCCAUCCCCCCUNNNNNNNNNNNNNNNNNNNNNNNNNNNNNNNNNNNNNNNNNNNNNNNNNNNNNNNNNNNNNNNNNNNNNNNNNNNNNNNNNNNNNNNNNNNNNNNNNNNNNNNNNNNNNNNNNNNNNNNNNNNNNNNNNNNNNNNNNNNNNNNNNNNNNNNNNNNNNNNNNNNNNNNNNNNNNNNNNNNNNNNNNNNNNNNNNNNNNNNNNNNNNNNNNNNNNNNNNNNNNNNNNNNNNNNNNNNNNNNNNNNNNNNNNNNNUGUAUAUAUAUAUAUAUAUAUAUAUAUAUAUAUAUAUAUUGAGUUUCUUUAUACUAUUUGCCAAGAAUGAAGCUUGAGCCGUUACAUUCAUGUUCUUUAACUCUUGUUUUGAUAAUUGCAGGAUUGCUCCUGAAUAAUUGCGGUUUGAUCCGUAUAGUUUUUGGUGAUAAAUGAUAAUAAUUUGAACCUCAAAUACCCUUUUUAAUUAAGUCACGUGCAGGGGCCACGUGACCUAUUCCGUCCGAUUUUAGAUGACAUCCACUAACAGGGAGGAGGUUUUUGUAAUAGACAGUAACUUUGAGAGAGAUUCAAGUCAUAAUAAUUGAGCUUCAGGGGAGGUUUUUAAAUGUCAAGAAUACUUUAGGGAAGGUAUUUUUGUCAUGAACCCUAUUUUUAACUAUAUUUUUGUGGUGAAUGAUUAUUAGUCAUUUGGAGGGAUCCUUUUAUUAGAUGGAGCGAGUAAUUUAACAAUUAAGGGGCUGUUUGAUUAUGCAUUAAAUGGUUGAAUCGGUUAGUCAUUCAGUGCGUUUGUUUUGAGGAAAAAAUCGUCUGAAUGGCUGAAUCAGUCAGCCAUUCAGAAGAAGAAGAUUUAGGCUGAAUGGUUUAGUAUCAUUUUUUUGGUUGAAUGGACUGCCGAAUGAAAUAUUUUUUUUUACAAUAUUAACUAUUAUAUUGAGUAAUAUUAAAUAAAUUUACAACAGUUUUAAAUUUUUUACGAGGGAUAAAAUAAUAAAAAUAUGUUAUUCAAAUAUUUUAAACAUGUCAAUUUUAAAACAAAUUUUUUAUUCAGUAUUCAAUAAAAAUUUUGAAUAUGUUAUUCAAUUUUUUCAAAUUUUUUAAAUUUUGAAUGCACUUUCAAAAUUAGUAUGAUUCAUAAAAAUUUUGAAUAAAAUAAAGAGUUGAAUACACUUUGUAUCAUCAAGUUUAUUCAAUUUUAUACAUUGCAUUCUAUACUUUAAAACGUGACACUUUGUAUCCCACAUUUUUAAUGAAUCGUCAUAUAACACCAUCCGGCCUAAAAUAUGUCGCUAAAAGUCAUAGUGUUAGUUUUUAAAAGUGACGUAGUUUGCAUUUUUAGUGAUCAAUUUUGGGUCAGAUUAUAAUAUGUUUUUUAACGGUAUGCAAAGUGUCAUGUUUUAAAAUAUAAGAGGCAAUAUACAAAAUGAGAUAAAUUUAAAAAUUCAAAAUACAUUUAACUCUAAAACAAAUUUUAUAAUUAAUAAAUUUUAUUAUAUAGUAUACAUUUAUAAUAAUUAUAUUAAUUAAAAUCAAAUAAAUUUCCGUCAAUUUAAAAUUUAAUAUAUCGUUAUUUUAUAAUUAUAUGUCUAAUUUUAAAAUAGUAAUGUCAAAGCACUAAGAUGUUAGUGGCACGUUUGUGCACGCCAUCCCAUACACAAAAGAAAAUAAUCUGAAAAGUUAUGUACCACGUGGAAGUCUGUCCAUAGGAUGGUAUGCCGUCUCUAUCUCAACAUAAAUACGGAACGAUAUUAUAUUAGACAGCAGAUCAUAUGUUGCUAUUUUUUUCGGGUUGAGCGGGGGUACGGUACCCUUAACGACCGGUGCAUCCCUUCUUUUCUUUUUUUUUUUUUUUAAAAUUAUAAUUAUGAGAAAAAAAAUAAAAAAUAAUAGAGUAAAUUUGAACAAAAAAUUGUAAAAAGAAAUAUAUUUUUUAUUGAAAAAACACUGUAAACAAUUUACAGUAUUUUUUUAAUAAAAAAUAUACUUCUUUUUACAAUUUUUUAUUCAAACUUGCUCUAUUAUUUUUUAUUUUUUUUUCUCAUAAUUAUAAUAAAAAAGCCAAAAAAAAAAAAAAAAUUAACACUUCGUACCGGACGUUAGUCCGGUAUAUUUGCACCGACCGCCCCCCAAUUCAUUUUUUUCUAUACCUUUAUGUUUUCUUACUUAAAUUUUAAUAUCUAACUUCUUAUUUAAUUUUAAAAUUAAUUAAUAUUAAAUAAAAAGUCAAGUGUCAAAAUUUAAAUAGAGAACACAAGAGAACAAAAAAAUAAAAAUUAAUGAUUUGCUCUCGAUAUUAUUAUCACAUAUGCAUAUUGUGAAUCUUCGUCUAACCUUACACCACAAAUAUAUAUAUAUAUAUAUAUAUAUGAAUUUUUUAUAUGUGAUAGUACCAAUUAUUUAUAAAUACGUGAGUGCAACAGCUGAAUAUUUAAUUUAAACCAAAGAAUAUGAAAAACUGAUAUAUUUGCGCCAUCAAAUAAGUAAGUCCACUCCACAGCAAGAUUAAAAAUUACUCCUUUUUAAAUUAUAUGAUUACUAGUAAUUAAUAUAUAUAUCCCACCUUUAAUUAAUAUAUAUAUAUAUAUAUAUAUAUAUAACCUUCUUAAUUAGUAACAUUAAUUAAGCUGAUAGACAGACAUACAGAUGCAGUUUAUCCGGCCAGAUCGAUCUAACGAAGAGUAGUUUAGAUCUGACGGUUAUUGGUCUGGGGGCCUCUGCCGGAGGUAACAGGUUUUCUUGGUGGCUUUCUGAAUGCCGUUUUGGUUGCUACUGAUCUACUUGUCACCAUAAAUGUUGCCUCCUGCAUGCAGCCAGCCAAAUUAAAUUAAUUAAUGAGUAUUUGAAUAUAUAUAUAUAUAUAUAUAUAUAUAUAUAUAUAUAUAUAUAUGGGAUAUAGAGAGAUGAAACAGAGGAGAGAGAGAGAGAGAUACAGUAGUGGAGUGUGUGGUUUCUCCUCCUAAUUGUGUUUGAGUAGGAGAAUUAUCUGCAGGUGAUUGGUGUUUAUAAGUAGUACUUUCUGAUGUGAAGCCCAGGCGCCUUAGCAUAGAUUUAAUUACUUCUUGUAGGAAAUUCCAGGGAGUUUUGUAAGAGUAGUAGUAUACUACUACUUCACUACUCUCCCUCAUCACCUCUCCUGAACAUCUAAUCUCCAUUAUUUAUUUCUUCUUCUUCUCUGUCUCUUUCUCAAUGGAUUUAUUUAUACUCUCAAAGGUCAAAAGAGGAAGAGGAAGAGGAAGAGGGCGAGGAGGAGACGGGGGUAUAUAUGGUAACUAUGUAAGUUGGAGUCUCAUUUACUAAGGAUAAAUUAAUCACUUUUUUAUAAAUGAGUGUGCCACUAUAUAUUAAUUUAAGGUGUCCAGUUG